rnacentral:rRNA from 1 species
CCUACGGGUGACAGCAGUGGGGAAUAUUGGACAAUGGGGGGAACCCUGAUCCAGCGACGCCGCGUGAGUGAAGAAGUCUUUCGGUAUGUAAAGCUCUAUCAGCCGGGAAGCAAAUGACGGUACCUGACUAAGAAGCCCCGGCUAAAUACGUGCCAGCAGCCGCGGUCAUACGUCGGGGGCAAGCGUUAUGCGGAUUUACUGGGUGUAAAGGGAGCGUAGACGGGUCAGCAAGUCUGAUGGGAAAGGUCGGGGCCCAACCCCGGGACUGCAUUGGAAACUGGUGAACUGGAGUGCAGGAGAGGUAAGCGGAAUGCGUAGUGUAGCGGUGAAAUGCGUAGAUAUUAGGAGGAACACCAGUGGCGAAGGCAGCUUACUGGACUGUAACUGACGUUGAAGCUCGAAAGCGUGGGGAGCAAACAGGAUUAGAUACCCCUGUAGUC